AACAAGGCGUACCUGCGGACCUGCGGAAGGAUCAUUACAAGUGACCCCGGUCUAACCACCGGGAUGCUCAUAACCCUUUGUUGUCCGACUCUGUUGCCUCCGGGGCGACCCUGCCUUCGGGCGGGGGCUCCGGGUGGACACUUCAAACUCUUGCGUAACUUUGCAGUCUGAGUAAACUUAAUUAAUAAAUUAAAACUUUCAACAAUGGAUCU
rnacentral:misc_RNA from 1 species